GAAAUGCGAUAAGUAAUGUGAAUUGCAGAAUUCAGUGAAUCAUCGAAUCUUUGAACGCACAUUGCGCCCGCCAGUAUUCUGGCGGGCAUGCCUGUUCGGGCGUCAUUUCAACCAUCAAGCCCCCGGCUUGUGUUGGGGACCUGCGGCUGCCCGCAGGCCCUGAAAAACAGUGGCGGGCUCGCUGUCACACCGAGCGUAGUAGCAUACAUUCUCGCUCAGGGCGUGCUGCGGGUUCCGGCCGUUAAACGACCUUCAUAACCCAAGGUUGACCUCGGAUCAGGUAGGAAGACCCGCUGAACUUAAGC
rnacentral:misc_RNA from 1 species